rnacentral:rRNA from 1 species
ACUUUUUUACUUGGAUAACUGUGGCAAUUCUAGAGCUAAUACAUGCAGCAGAGCUCGGACCCCUCGGGGACGAGCGCUUUUAUUAGACCAAAGCCAACCGGGCCUCGUGCCCGUUCUCUGUGGCGACUCUGUAUAACUUUGGGCUGAUCGCACGGGCUCGUCCCGGCGACGCAUCUUUCAAGUGUCUGCCUUAUCAACUGUCGAUGGUAGGUUAUGCGCCUACCAUGGUCGUAACGGGUAACGGGGAAUCAGGGUUCGAUUCCGGAGAGGGAGCCUGAGAAACGGCUACCACAUCCAAGGAAGGCAGCAGGCGCGCAAAUUACCCACUCUCGGCACGAGGAGGUAGUGACGAAAAAUAACAAUACGGGACUCUUUUGAGACCCCGUAAUUGGAAUGAGUACACUCUAAACCCUAUAACGAGGAUCUAUUCGAGGGCAAGCCUAGUGCCAGCCGCCGCGGUAACUCUAGCUCGAAUAGCGUAUAUUAAAGUUGUUGCGGUUAAAAAGCUCGUAGUUGGAUCUCAGUUCCAGACGGGUGGUCUGCCGGUCGGUGGAUACUUCCCGGACUGAACAACCAGCCGGUUUCCCUCGAUGAUCUUUACCAAUUGUCUUGGGUGACCGGCACUUUUACUUUGAAAAAAUUAGAGUGCUCAAAGCAGGCGUUACGCCUGAAUAAUGGUGCAUGGAAUAAUAGAAUAGGACCUCGGUUCUAUUUUGUUGGUUUUCGGGACACGAGGUAAUGAUUAAGAGGGACAGACGGGGGCAUUCGUAUUGCGACGCUAGAGGUGAAAUUCUUGGACCGUCGCAAGACGAACUACUGCGAAAGCAUUUGCCAAGAAUGUUUUCAUUAAUCAAGAACGAAAGUUAGAGGUUCGAAGGCGAUCAGAUACCGCCCUAGUUCUAACCAUAAACGAUGCCAACCAGCGAUCCGCCUGAGUUCCUCAAAUGACUCGCCGGGCAGCUUCCGGGAAACCAAAGUGUUUGGGUUCCGGGGGAAGUAUGGUUGCAAA